UAUAUAUUGUGUGCAUGUGCACUUUGUCAACAACAAUACAUACAUGAUUGAAUGUUUUUAUUUUCAUUUUUUUUCCAGGUGGAGUGGUUUCAGUCCCAUACUGUUGUUUAUUCCAGGUGGAGUGGUUUCAGUCCCAUAAUGUUGUUUAUUCCAGGUGGAGUGGUUUCAGUCCCAUAAUGUUGUUUAUUCCAGACAGGAGUCUGUUAUCAGGACACCCAGCUGUCUUGACCAAUGACAGAAUACUUGAGAUAGACAAGAUGGUGGCGUACAUUUUUUUGGAUUACUUCAUGGAGCAAAAAUAACAGAGCAUUUUCUAAAUUCAAACUGACCCCCUGCAACUGGACAAUGACAUUUUAUGAGAUUCCUGUUUCCUCUAAUCGAGGAUGACGACGGUAUCGGCAAGUUUUGGUCGA
ensembl:lncRNA